rnacentral:pre_miRNA from 1 species
UUAACUCAAAUUUGUAUACACUUGAAACGUUUGCCUACGUUUGCCGCUAGGGGCGCUGUGCCUACAUACAAAUUUGUGUUA